rnacentral:rRNA from 1 species
UACGUAGGGGGCAAGCGUUGUCCGGAAUCAUUGGGCGUAAAGAGCGUGUAGGCGGCCAGAUAAGUCCGCUGUGAAAUCUCGAGGCUCAACUUCGAGCUGUCGGUGGAAACUGUCUGGCUAGAGUCCGGAAGAGGAGAAUGGAAUUCCUGGUGUAGCGGUGAAAUGCGUAGAUAUCAGGAGGAAUACCGGUGGCGAAAGCGACUCUCUGGACGGCAACUGACGCUGAGGCACGAAAGCGUGGGGAGCAAACAGG